rnacentral:snRNA from 1 species
GUGCUCGCUUCGGCAGCACAUAUACUAAAAUUGGAACGAUACAGAGAAGAUUAGUAUGCCCUUGCGCAAGGAUGACACGUAAAUAUGAGUGUGUAGUUUUU